GGAGACAACCAGGCGAUCGCCGGUCCACUGUCGCUUCGGUUAUGGUGGGCGGGAGGAAAGUCCGGGCUCCACAGGGCAGGAUGGUCCUUAACGGGGACCGGGGGCGACCCCAGGGAAAGUGCCACAGAAAGCAAACCGUCCACUUAAAGCUCUAUGAAGGUGGAUAA
rnacentral:RNase_P_RNA from 1 species